rnacentral:rRNA from 1 species
AACGAACGCUGGCGGCAUGCCUAACACAUGCAAGUCGAACGAGACCUUCGGGUCUAGUGGCGCACGGGUGCGUAACGCGUGGGAACCUGCCCUUAGGUUCGGAAUAACUCCCCGAAAGGGGUGCUAAUACCGGAUAAUGUCUUCGGACCAAAGAUUUAUCGCCUUUGGAUGGGCCCGCGUUGGAUUAGCUAGUUGGUAGGGUAAAAGCCUACCAAGGCGACGAUCCAUAGCUGGUCUGAGAGGAUGAUCAGCCACACUGGGACUGAGACACGGCCCAGACUCCUACGGGAGGUAGCAGUGGGGAAUAUUGGACAAUGGGCGAAAGCCUGAUCCAGCAAUGCCGCGUGAGUGAUGAAGGCCUUAGGGUUGUAAAGCUCUUUUACCCGGGAUGAUAAUGACAGUACCGGGUGAAUAAGCUCCGGCUAACUCCGUG